UGAGGGAUAUUGGGCAAUGGGGAAACCCUGACCCAGCGACGCCGCGUGAGGGAAGACGGUCUUCGGAUUGUAAACCUCUGUCUUUGGGGACGAAAAAGGACGGUACCCAAGGAGGAAGCUCCGGCUAACUACGUGCCAGCAGCCGCGGUAAUACGUAGGGAGCGAGCGUUGUCCGGAAUUACUGGGUGUAAAGGGAGCGUAGGCGGGAAGGCAAGUUGGAUGUGAAAACUGUGGGCUCAACCGACAGACUGCAUUCAAAACUGUUUUUUCUUGAGUGAAGUAGAGGCAAGCGGAAUUCCUAGUGUAGCGGUGAAAUGCGUAGAUAUUAGGAGGAACACCAGUGGCGAAGGCGGCUUGCUGGGCUUUUACUGACGCUGAGGCUCGAAAGUGUGGGGAGCAAACAGGAUUAGAUACC
rnacentral:rRNA from 1 species